GUGGAAAUGUGGCAUUUCCAGGACCACUUGUGAGAGGUGAGACUGACCAUAGGCAGGUGUACUGGUACAUUUUGACUGAGUGGCAGCGGUGCAUCAAAGAUGACGCCAUUCACGAUAAAGUAGGAGCUGAGAUGGUCUGGCGUAUGCUGGCUCUUCUGUGGAGGAAGAAUGGCAUGGUGUCUGGUAAGGACCUGGCCAUAUUGUUGGUGCAGGAAACUCUGCAUGACACUGAAGCUCCAGAUAGCUGUGACGCAGAACUUGUGGAACUGCUCAUUUUGGGCAAGAAAAAGGAGGCUCUAAACUUGGCCAUCAGUCAUGAAUACUGGGAGCACGCAUUGGUCUUGGACAGCUUUUUUAGAAAAGCGUCAUGUGGCCCAGCCAUC
rnacentral:lncRNA from 1 species